rfam:Populus trichocarpa isolate Nisqually-1 chromosome 6, whole genome shotgun sequence.
GCAGGUUUGCCCGAGAGUUUGAGGGGGACGGUUUAAGAUCUUCUAUACAUAAGCACGCGUGGGUUCGAACCCCACGGCCUGCA